rnacentral:rRNA from 1 species
CUGCCGAAAGAGCUUUACAACCCGAAGGCCUUCUUCACUCACGCGGAAUGGCUGGAUCAGGCUUUCSCCCAUUGUCCAARAUUCCCCACUGCUGCCUCCCGUAGGAGUCUGGACCGUGUCUCAGUUCCAGUGUGGCUGAUCAUCCUCUCAGACCAGCUACUGAUCGUCGCCUUGGUGAGCCUUUACCUCACCAACUAGCUAAUCAGACAUAGGCCAAUCCAAUAACGSGAGGUCCGAAGAUCCCCCGCUUUCCCCCUUAGGGCGUAUGCGGUAUUAGCACCGAUUUCUCGGCGUURUCCCCCAUUACUGGGUAUGUUCCUAUGUAUUACUCACCCGUUCGCCACUCGCCACCAGGAGCAAGSUCCCGUGCUGCCGUUCGACUUGCAUGUGUAAAGCAUUCCGCCAGCGUUCAAUCUGAGCCAUGAUCAAACUCUAAUCACUAGUGAAUUCGCGGCCGCCUGCAGGUCGACCAUAUGGGAGAGCUCCCAACGCGUUGGAU